ensembl:lncRNA
AUGGAGGCAGCUCAGCUCAGCGUAGUAGAAGCCAGUUCUUUAGAACAGCCCCUGACUGGUCUCUCCUGCUGCUGUUGGAGUCAUGUGGACAUACAGACAUCAGUCUGUAUGUUGUCAUACACGCGCUUGAACAACAACGGCUGGACCAUCUCCUUACAUCUUCUCAUGCGAAUGCGCAUGCCUGGUUCUCUAGGGCACGUCCUCUUGGAGACCGUUCCUCCCCACCCCAUGGCACUGUGCCCAGCCCACUUUCCCUCUUGUCGGACUGUUACAUCAUCGCAUCUUACUUGUCUGCCUAGCGCUUACUUCCCUCUUGUGUAUUCAUUAGCUGACUUGUUUAUUGUGUCUUCACCAAUCAGAAUGUGGUUCUGUGAAGGAAGAGGCUCUGCCUUGUUCUUGGGAAUCUCCAGGGUCCUGAGGAUGCUUGGCCAGAGAACAACCCUGAAGGAGCUUUGGCCUGUGGAGCAUGUCAGAAGAUGUGGUAAAAACACAAUAGACUCUUGGAUGCUGGGACCCGUGGUUUGGAUGACGGGCUGCACUGCUGGUUUCUGAACUGACUUGGUGUGAGCUGUGGGCAACUCACUUAACUGACCGCUUUUCGCAUAGGACAGUACAAGUGAAUUACAAAGUGCCCUGAAGCCCUUAGAGGAAUGUAGAUACAAACAGGGGCUGGCACUACUCUGCCUUCACUUUGCCAAAAACUCUGGAACCCACGCUCCUUGGCUGUGGCACUUUACGACUCUUUGGGUACAAAGUGUAGUUACUCAUUACUUUCAUUUUUCUACACUAUUUUCAACUGAGAUCAAGAUUUAUUUAUAGUCUCUCACUAGGCACUAUUAUUUUAAAGAGUACUAGGAAGACCCCUUUGAAACUGCUAAGAAUUGUCCACACACUGAUCCUGAAUUACCAACCAUUUGUUUUCAUUAUUAUGUGCACUAAAGAAUUCCAUUGUAAGCAACUGGCUAGUUCGUGCAUUGCGAAGGUUUAGCUAAAAUGUCAGAGUCCCACAAAUGAUGGGUUUCCUGAAUGCGCUUUCUUCAGACCCCCCACUCCCCUUGCUUCUCUGCUGCCUACAAUUCCUCCUUCAUUCUCUGAACCUGAACUUUCUUUUAAGAUAUUGCCAUUGAAAAUCUGAACCCGUGGCAACUUGUUAACCUCCAUCCUGUCUGUUGUACCCAUGGUGGAUGUCUCUAUGCGUUUAGAGCGUCCCUCCUGGCACUUGCCAGCCUCACCUUUAUACGCAUGCUCUUUCUUUCUCUAGAAUGCUGCUGGUUCUGACCUGUUUGCUUGGCAAGCACUUGCUUAUCUAGUAAGCUCUAGCUCAGACUUCGAAUCCUUUCCGGUAGCGUCUGACCAUCCAUCCUCCCAGUGCUGGGCACUCCAGCCUCUCCUCUCUGUCCUCACGCUGUCUUGCUGUAGCAAAUGAGACCGUGCUGCUCAGGCCACUGCUUCUCUUUUUCAUAUCUGUAGCAGUAGUGGAGAAUUCAUGGUGGAUAAGGAGUUUGUCUUUCUAAUUUCUAUAUUCAUAGGCAAAGCCUAGAAAUUUUGGUAAGAGUUUAUUGAACAGAUGAGUGAAAAAAAAUACAGUGAUUUAAUUUCCAGUUACACUCGAGCUUCUGAAAAAGUCUGAUGGGUAUGUGAGGAGUUCUCUUUGAAAUGGCCUUCUGGGUAGCAGUGGGGUCAAGGUCCAUUCAGAGGAUUUGGGUGGCAGAUAUAUACAGCUGAGGAUUGUAGGAAUCAAGUUUGUUUUAGCUUAUACUUCCUUAUCCAAUUAAGAGAUGUUAAUUAGACCACCCACCAGGCAGGUAACUGGAAUGAAGUGAUCCCUGGCUUCUUCCAAGUCAUAAUGGCAGUGGGAUUCACUGUGAAGUAAACUUUGUGGUUCAUGGGUGGGUAAAGUUGACAAAAUCUGAAGGCUAUUUUAGAUAAUGUGGGUUUCAUGACCCCUGACUAAUUAUAAUCUUAGUUAAAAUGUUUUAAUGUGAGAACCAAAUAAAUUUAGUAAAG